ACGCUCGACACCUACGGGAGGCAGCAGUAGGGAAUCUUCCACAAUGGACGCAAGUCUGAUGGAGCAACGCCGCGUGAGUGAAGAAGGUCUUCGGAUCGUAAAACUCUGUUGUUAGAGAAGAACACGAGUGAGAGUAACUGUUCAUUCGAUGACGGUAUCUAACCAGCAAGUCACGGCUAACUACGUGUCAGCAGCCGGCGGUAAUCUGAGCGGGCUGGCAAGGC
rnacentral:rRNA from 1 species